CAAUUGAUUAUGUACGUAGUCGAAACAUAGUAUUUCUAAAGUGGUAGGGUUCCAUUACCUUUAUUCAAGUGUUCUAAGCGUACAACUCCAGACAUGUUUCUCUAUGUUCCGUUACAGACACACGACCUUCCUCUUUGAGUGACGGUUUCGAUAUUAGGGACUACGAUUUCGGACGUACAAGUUCAGACGUCUCAAAUGAGUAUAAUGACAUACUUACUAAUUAUGUCUCCCUCGGGAAAACAGUCCAGUAAAUUAGUAAUUUAGUAUGCAUUUUAAUAGAGUCCAUUGAAUGAUGAUGGAAACAAGCUUUUAUUCACGGCAAUUGAAUCAUGUGGAAACGUGAUUUUAACAUGAUUUAGGCACUGUGAAUAAAACCCUGUCUCCCUCAUAAAGUAAAAGAUGGACUUGGUUCAACAAUAAAGUAAAGAUUCUCCGUUUCUCAAGGAGGACCAAUCAAACGGUGUAAAAUAUACAGACAGAUACACGUAAUGAUUAAGUGAUAUACGUGGAAAUCAAGGGUCAAAACCGAGUGAAAGAACUACGUAGAGCCUACUCUCCUUUCCUUACCUAUUAGACUGUUCGUUACAAGCCCGUAUGGGAAUAUAAAUGCAGACUACUUUACGACGCCCACGUUUGAUUAGUUCUGACGACGGUACUCGUUUUCUCGUCUGUAAUGAAUACUCUUUUGUUAUUUUCUUAGAAGGUACUGAUGUAUGGUGCUGCUCAGUUUCUGCUACUUUCGUGAUGAGGUAACCACCACAAUCGUUCACCUCAGACCUCCCUCUUGUUGUGUUUCAUCCUUUAACUAAGGGAGCGGGAGCGAACGAAGUUGCUGGGGCGGGCAGAACCACCCCAGCUAAGGGGGUAGCGGGCUGAGUAGAGUCUGCUCCAUCAGCUUUAUUAAGAUACGAAGUCUAUUAAGUGGUUACGUAAACAAAGUAGUAAAGAAAAACUGAUAAUUGACGCACUCGUUCACAGAUUAUUAUUUUUUCAAGGGGUAACCCAGCGAUGAUGUUGAUUUACCCGUACACUUAUCGACAUCUUGCAUGAGAUAAAACAAGGGGUAACUUCCCGUUACAAGGAUAACCAGAGAGCUUUCUUGACUUUCUUUACGUUGGAACUGUUAACUUACGGGUGUAAGGAACAACCUCUAGUAUCUCGAUAUAUGUAAUUACUCAAUAAUACAACUACGUGUGACGUAACGUAAAUGAUUUGAACAAAAGAAGAAUGGUCUAGGUCACCAUUACAUUAAAACCAGCCCGUCCCCAAACACUUCUUUUGAUCGUUCCAAGUAUCUACGUGGGUCCACCUUAUGAAUGAAAGGUUUACAGUUCAUAAAAAUUUUUUAAUCUGUAUAUUUACAGACUCAGGAAACACACGAACAGUUUAUAGUACGUUUUUACUAUUUCUCCUGCUCCAAUACUCCAUUACACGAGCCCGCCCUCCUUCUCCAUGACCAAGUUUGGUACUUUCAAGAAUCGAGUAUUAACGAUGGUUAAGAUGUCUUUUCCAACACUAAAACAAUUGGACUGAUCUCGAAAGUACAAUACAGUCAGGAAAUAAAUCUACUAAAUCGACAACUGGAUGGCAAGGAAAGAUAGUAGGUACCCGAUUUUUUACUUAAUAGUUGUUCAUACCACUAUCGGUCGCAAUGACACUAGAGGUUUCUUGUUAUUGAUACGUUGUAUCACGACUUGAAACUGUAAAAGCAAAACGAUAUUUAAAGGAAAAUUAUAAAGCAUUAAACAAAUUAAUUAGAAAGAUAAUUAUAAACCAAAGUGAUAUCAUUUAAAUAAACUUCCAGAGGUACUACCGUAUUAAGAUACAUCUGACUACACAGCUAAUAAAACCGUACGUAAAUAAACGGGUUGUAAUGGAUCUAUGAAUCACGGUAAUGUUACUGUAGGGCAAAAUAAAGUCUUUCACUAACGAGGUAGUGUAUGUGUAAUUUUCUUUAACGUGUUGACGUGGUACCGAUAGGUCAUAUAGUUCGUUCUAAUUAGAUUUGUAUGGAAUGUCGUAGAGUAAUGAGGGCAGCUUCAUUAGAUUUGUACAAGAAUUACCGCUGUUUAAACUCGUCUUCUAUAAGAAUUACCGUUGUUCAUUGAUUAAGAAAGCAAAGAUACCUUAUACAUUUAAGUAUACGUCCAUUCGUCCAAUUAGAUUUGUACGGAAUGUCAUAGGGUAAUGAGAACAACUUUAAAAUAUGACAAUCUAAAGUGGAAACAAACAUAAUUUAUAGACUUCAUUGCCUCGAACUAAAAGUCAAAACAAAAAAGUGAGUGAAGUAUCGGUUGUAAUGUCACCAUAUACAACAUACAUAAAGUCGUGAUGUGAAAAGGGAGCCAGAUAUAUCAGUGACAAUGAACGGAUUUCUGGCCCUUAAAAGCAACAAGGCAAAGUUGUUGUGCCAUAUUUAGGUUUAUCAAUGAUAAUGGACUCCUGUCGAACAGAAGGGGUUGUACCCUAAACAACAAUUGAGAUGAGUAGAAGCUACAAAUAUGUACUAACCGUUCACAGUCGUUGAAGAGCACAAGUGAAAACCAAUCGUUUCCAAAACUAUAUUGUCAGUCUAUAAAUACAAACGCUAAUCGAGUAUCCACUCUGAGACCCAAGGGGAGGGGAGACAGCUAGCGAGGUCGUCGCUCUCCCAGCCCCUCGGGGACAAGAGACGAAACCACACAUAUAUCCCACACACCUCUAAAGCAGAGGACCGAAGCAGGGGUACCGCCGACCCGCACGAAGUAGGGAGUAGUACCUCGGAUCCUCAGUACAAGUCCUCAACCUCGCCGCGGUCUAGAGGGGUACAGAGCAGGAACCACCAAGAAGUAGUACAACGUAGAGGCCACACGACCAGGAUGACCUGGCUCCAACUGCUGAAGGACCGGCGUUUCUUGGACAGACGUGAGAUGUUCUAGUACGACCGUUUUACAUCUCGCCGCGGACUAGAGGGGUACGGAGUAGGAACCACGAAGAAACAGUACAACGUGGAGGCCACACUACCAGGAUGACCUGUCUCCAAUUGCUGAAGGACCAGCGCUUCGUAGGCAGGCGUGAGAUGUUCCAGUGCAGCCGAGGUACAACCUCGCCCUCGCGCGGAACUCGGGCGUAGACUCAAACAACAUAGACUCAAACACCACCCAGCUUCGGGGUUCCUGGGCUAACACUAAACACAAAAGAGAUCCCACGAAUAUGGUGACCACAAGAAAUUAUAUACUGGACCCAGAAGAGGUGUUCUUUCCCACUAUAGAUAGUAAACAUUACGUAACGUGUGAUGUCUCAAUAC
rnacentral:rRNA from 1 species